rnacentral:rRNA from 1 species
AGAGCGAACGCUGGCGGCAGGCCUAAUACAUGCAAGUCGAACGGACCCUUCGGGGUUAGUGGCGGACGGGUGAGUAACACGUGGGAACGUGCCCUUUGGUUCGGAACAACUCAGGGAAACUUGAGCUAAUACCGGAUGUGCCCUUCGGGGGAAAGAUUUAUCGCCAUUGGAGCGGCCCGCGUCUGAUUAGCUAGUUGGUGAGGUAAAGGCUCACCAAGGCUACGAUCAGUAGCUGGUCUGAGAGGAUGAUCAGCCACACUGGGACUGAGACACGGCCCAGACUCCUACGGGAGGCAGCAGUAGGGAAUCUUGCGCAAUGGGCGAAAGCCUGACGCAGCCAUGCCGCGUGAAUGAUGAAGGUCUUAGGAUUGUAAAAUUCUUUCAGCGGGGACGAGUAAUGACGGUACCCGCGAGAAGAAGCCCCGGCUAACGUCGUGCCAGCAGCCGC